CGCAGGGGGAGCCGCAGUUCGCGGCUGAGAGGUCCCGCCGGGGACGACCCCACGAACCUGCUCCGGAUAAUGCCGGCGAAGGGACGCG
rnacentral:ncRNA from 1 species